rnacentral:rRNA from 1 species
UACAGAGGUCCCAAGCGUUGUUCGGAUUCACUGGGCGUAAAGGGUGCGUAGGCGGUCUGGUAAGUCUGACGUGAAAUCUCCGGGCCUAACCCGGAAACUGCGUCGGAUACUAUCCGGCUAGAGGAUUGGAAGGGAGACUGGAAUACUUGGUGUAGCAGUGAAAUGCGUAGAUAUCAAGAGGAACACCAGUGGCGAAGGCGAGUCCCUGGACAACUUCUGACGCUGAGGCACGAAAGCUAGGGGAGCAAACAGG